rnacentral:sRNA from 1 species
CCAUUGAAGGUUUUCUGGCGGGGCAGUGGUAUGAUCAGACCUGUGUUCUUUCUUCCAACCAGAAGAGCAGCAGAAGCAAAGACAAGAACCAGUGCUGCCCCAUCUGUAACAUGACCUUUUCCUCCCCUGUCGUGGCCCAGUCGCACUACCUGGGGAAGACCCACGCAAAGAACUUAAAGCUGAAGCAGCAGUCCACUAAGGUGGAAGCCUUGCACCAGAAUAGAGAGAUGAUAGACCCAGACAAGUUCUGCAGCCUCUGCCAUGCAACUUUCAACGACCCUGUCAUGGCUCAACAACAUUAUGUGGGCAAGAAACACAGAAAACAGGAGACCAAGCUCAAACUAAUGGC